AAAGCAGGCUGGUGGGAGCUUCCUGGAUAACCUGGCUGAGUUACCUAAGUAACUUCCCUCUAUUCCCUGCCCCCUACAGACCACUUCUAUCAAAUGCCAGGGAACAUUAUGUUAAUAACGGAUAAUUGCCUAGGCUCUGAGAGCAUUUGAGAAACCACGGCACUUUAAAAUAGUAUUUUAAUUUUAUGUGUAUGAGAGUUUGCCUGAACAUAUAUCUGUGUACCACAUGCAUGCAGUGUCUGUGGAGGCCAGAAGUGGGUAUCGGAGCCCCUGGAACUGGAUUUAUAGACAGUUGUAAACCUUUGUGUGGGCGCAGGGAAUUAAACACCAUCUUCUGGAAGAGCAGCCAGUGCUUUUAGCGGCUAAGCCAUCUCUCUAGUCUCAGUCGGGACAUUUUAAAAUAUUCAUUGUCUACUUCUAACUUCACAAGGAGGCAGCAUAAGAGGCAACAAUGCUGUUUCACAGGUAACAAGACUGAGACUUGAAAGGCUGAAGAGUGGCAGGAGUCAUUUCUGCUGUCAAAGAACCUGCAGCUGAUGGCUU
rnacentral:lncRNA from 1 species